GUGCUUGCUUUGGUAGCACAUAUAUUAAAAUUGGAAUGAUAUAGAGAAGAUUAUGAUGGCCUCUUUUUAAGGAUGCCAUGCAAAUGUGUGAAGCGCUCCACACUGGU
ensembl:snRNA U6 U6 spliceosomal RNA